rfam:Ictidomys tridecemlineatus contig035456, whole genome shotgun sequence.
GGAGUUAUGGCUCAGUGGUAGAGCGCUUGCUUAGCAUACGUGAGGCACUGGGUUCGAUCCCCAGUAUCACAU